GACGAACGCUGGCGGCGUGCCUAAUACAUGCAAGUAGAACGCUGAAGGAGGAGCUUGCUUCUCCGGAUGAGUUGCGAACGGGUGAGUAACGCGUAGGUAACCUGCCUGGUAGCGGGGGAUAACUAUUGGAAACGAUAGCUAAUACCGCAUAACAGUAGAUGUUGCAUGACAUUUGCUUAAAAGGUGCAAUUGCAUCACUACCAGAUGGACCUGCGUUGUAUUAGCUAGUUGGUGAGGUAACGGCUCACCAAGGCGACGAUACAUAGCCGACCUGAGAGGGGGAUCGGCCACACUGGGACUGAGACACGGCCCAGACUCCUACGGGAGGCAGCAGUAGGGAAUCUUCGGCAAUGGACGGAAGUCUGACCGAGCAACGCCGCGUGAGUGAAGAAGGUUUUCGGAUCGUAAAGCUCUGUUGUAAGAGAAGAACGAGUGUGAGAGUGGAAAGUUCACACUGUGACGGUAUCUUACCAGAAAGGGACGGCUAACUACGUG
rnacentral:rRNA from 1 species